UGGGGAAUAUUGCACAAUGGGCGCAAGCCUGAUGCAGCCAUGCCGCGUGUGUGAAGAAGGCCUUCGGGUUGUAAAGCACUUUCAGCGAGGAGGAAGGUGGUGAGCUUAAUACGCUCAUCAAUUGACGUUACUCGCAGAAGAAGCACCGGCUAACUCCGUGCCAGCAGCCGCGGUAAUACGGAGGGUGCAAGCGUUAAUCGGAAUUACUGGGCGUAAAGCGCACGCAGGCGGUUUGUUAAGUCAGAUGUGAAAUCCCCGGGCUCAACCUGGGAACUGCAUUUGAAACUGGCAAGCUAGAGUCUCGUAGAGGGGGGUAGAAUUCCAGGUGUAGCGGUGAAAUGCGUAGAGAUCUGGAGGAAUACCGGUGGCGAAGGCGGCCCCCUGGACGAAGACUGACGCUCAGGUGCGAAAGCGUGGGGCAGCAAACAGGAUUAGAUACCCUGGUAGUCCAGCGCUGUAAACGAUGUCGAUUUUGGAGGUUGUGCCCUUGAGGCGUGGCUUCCGGAGCUAACGCGUUAAAUCGACCGCCUGGGGAGUACGGCCGCAAGGUUAAAACUUAAAGGAAUUGACGGGGUCAU
rnacentral:rRNA from 1 species